UACGGGGGGAGCAAGCGUUGUUCGGAUUUACUGGGCGUAAAGGGCGCGUAGGCGGCCACCGCAAGUCGGUUGUGAAAUCUCCGGGCUUAACCCGGAAAGGUCAAUCGAUACUGCGGGGCUAGAGUGCAGAAGGGGCAACUGGAAUUCUCGGUGUAGCGGUGAAAUGCGUAGAUAUGCGGAGGAACACCGAUGGCGAAGGCAAUCCCCUGGGCCUGCACUGACGCUCAUGCACGAAAGCGUGGGGAGCAAACAGG
rnacentral:rRNA from 1 species